AUCUAAUUCUCUCAGGGGAAGAGCUUUGAUAUUUUCCUGAAGAUAUGUCAACUGUGAAUGAAUACUUAGGUCCUUGGGGUCUCAUCUUCUCUUUAUUCCCACUGUGAUCCAGGAAUGUUUCCUGGAAAAUUAACUGUGACUGCCAUACAGAAUUAUGUAAAAGCAUGGCAGAUGACUCUGCCAUCUGUUCAUUACAGCCCACACAUAUUCUCUUCAUGUCACAUGGCCACUGCGAACAGAUGUGAGAGGAGUAAAAUUGGCAAUUCAAGACUGUCUUUCCUACCUUCUUCAGUGCCUCUUUCAGCAAUAUAAAGUUAAAAC